rnacentral:ncRNA from 1 species
UCAUGUUUUUUAUGCAUGUUGCAGCCACUCACCAAGCCUUGGAUUGUUCACCCACUAAUAGUGAACGUGAGCUGGGAUUAGACCGUCGUGAAACAGGUU